UUAAAGAUAGUGGCCCUGGAGU
rnacentral:piRNA from 1 species